GUGGGACUGGGGUUCCAACACAAAACUUGAAGCUUACAGCUCCACCGGCCUUCAUCCCCUCGUCGCCGCCUACCUUCAGCCGUUCACCCAACUCCAGAACCCCCCAAAACCAAAAAAUCAACCAAAUCCCAAGACCACCAAAGCCUCCUCCGCUCCCUCGCCAAGAAAUUCCUUCCCUUUCUCAACCGCGCGCUAUCCCUUCUCCCCAAAAGCCGCGCCGACGCCUCAAAGUUAGAUGACGAAUUUGCCCUCGAACUCUUCGAUAUUUACCGGCUUUGCCUCUACUGCCUGACCGCCGUGUCCCCUGUGUUGUCCGCUUCGCCGUGCUCGUUUCACUCGCAGAGGGUGAGGAUGGUGAGUUGCCUGGUGGCAUGUGGGCGGUACGAGGAAGCGGAGAGUGAGGGGUUUUAUAGAAAUCGGUGAAAUCAGACCGGAGAUUUGUGCCGGAUGUGGAGAAGGGGGAGGAGAUAAAGAGUUUGGGUCUUUGGUGGGAGAAAUUGUGGUGACGCUUGUGAAAUGUGCGGCCAUGAGUCAGAGUAAGGAUAGUGAGGUGUAUGGGCGGGUGCUUUGUUUGGUUGAGGAGGUUGUGCCGUGGUUCUGGUGUGGUAUUAGAUGCAAGCACAUAUGAGAAGUUGCACAGGAAUCUCGUUGUCUACCUGAGUAGGUGUACUCAAUUUUUAGUUGGGGAGCUAUCAUCGUUCAAUGGGGAUCUUGUGCAAAAGUUCUGCCUUGUAACCAUGGCUGAAUAUGUCAAGUCGUCAUUGAAAUAUACAAUGUUCAAGUUUGCCCGUACAAUAUGUUCAUCUUUGAUCUUGUCUCGAGAUGACAGAUUCACGCUCUCUCGCAUAUUAUUUUACUUGUUGGACUCUCUUGUCCACGAAUGUAAGGCUAAAGUGGAAAAUACAGGAAAAGAGUUUAUUGAAAUUAUUGCUUAUUGUGCCAAGAAAUGUCAAACUACAAACCCAAACUGUUGCGGUAUUGUUGGAUCCCGUUUAAAUAAAUUAGCAGGUUGGAACACCUUUUCAUUUGAUUCUGAGGGUUGUUGAGAGUUGUCCCACAUUGGUGAGGGACAAGGUUUGCUAUGUGCUUAUAUGGUCUUGGGCUACUCCCCAUAUUGCCAAUUGGUUUUAUGGUGGAACCUCAAUUUCAUCAUGGUAUCAGAGCAAGGUUGUCCAUGUGUGAAGCCCAACGGCCACACGCGCUCCACGUCACCCAGUUGUUGUUCACGUGUAAGCUUGAAAAUCCGCCACACGUGCGGGGGCGUGUUGAGAGUUGUCCCACAUUGGUGAGGGACAAGGUUUGCUAUGUGCUUAUAUGGUCUUGGGCUACUCCCCAUAUUGCCAAUUGGUUUUAUGGUGGAACCUCAAUUUCAUCAUAUGCCACUGGAUUGCACUUUGUUGAUCGCAGUAUGAAGUCAAAAAUUAGUCAUCUUCAAUCAUUUGAAGGUGCAGUUAGACUUUUGUUUGAUGAUGGGGACGCAAUGAAUCGUUUGUCCGAUUUGCUUGGUUAAUGGAGAAGUUUUUCCAAUUUGGCUGCAUUGACGACCCUUUGUUAUCCAAUUCGUAGUUGAGUUCGGACAAUGGGGAAUCAUUGAUUUAAAUGAAGGACAGAAAGAACUAUCUUCUGUCUUAUUUUAAUGCAUUGAAAUUCUUAUGCCAGCCGCUUACAGAGUUAGUAAAUUCAGGAAGGAAACAGAUUAUUACAAAUAAUGAAGCUGCUUCUGUUUCUAUUGAAUUGUGCCAUAUCCAGGGUGCAUUCCAUCAGUUUUGUUUUCUUUCUCUGCAAAUGUGCAGAUGUACAUAUGAGGUGGAUAGAGAUGGUUUUGAUGGAAACAGCACCCUUGAUGUUGCUCUGGCUGCUUUUACCCUUGCCAUCAUAACAAAGCUGAACAUGCAGAAGAGUGUGCAAAUACUUGAAAAUAUCAUCACCAGGGCUUGGAUUCAACCUCAUGGUCUAAAGUAUCUAUAUGUCUCUCUGUACAAUACCGGGAUACAUUUGUACCGAAAGAAGGAGCUAAAAGAGGAUAGGGAUGCAGUUGUUUACGUGCACUUCUCCUUGCCAUCAAUUAGCUGUGGCAUAUUGCUUACAUGCGCUUUCUACCCAGGAAACUGAACCCAACUCAAAGACUCAUGAGCAGCGAGUGCUUGAAGAUAUCAGUGCUGCCAUUAAUCUAUGGUUGGGCAUUUCUACUCCAGAUAAUUGCUCUCCUGCUGACAAGUGGUCCAUGUUGUCUGAAAAUACCAUAUUGCUACUGUACAAUGUUAUUGAUCUGUUAUCCAUCAAGGGUUGCACGGACUUUCACAGUGAUAUACAUAGGCUUAUGAUUAGAUUAUUUAAAUGGAGUAAUGUCCCAUUAGAGAAGUGCGUCCUCAGAUUUUGGGAAUGUAGAAGGAUUAGCCAUGCCCUUUGUGCUUCACCUGUAAAUGAGACAUUCAUCAUGAACAUAUCGGAUCAUUGUGGUGAACUUUCAAAGUCUAUUUCUUUUUGGAUAGAUUGUCUAAAAGAUUCCAAACAAUUGCUUUUAGCGUUCCAACAUAGCUUCUCAUUUCUGUUUCCAAACUUUUCUCGGGGCCCAUGCAAUCAUGAAAGCUUGUUUCGAUCAGAUACUGAGGUCAAGCAAGCUGCUUUUGAACUUAUUUCACAAGCUCCUGUAUCUACUUGGUCUGCUUACGUAGCUGGAUAUCUCUACUAUGAUUUAUCUGAAAGACUUGUUUCAAAUGGACGGUUAAUUGAGGCUCUCUCAUAUGCCAAAGAAGCUCACAACUUCUCACAAAGCUUACCACUAUUUACCAAUGUUUUUUCUACUGUCUUGGGAAAGCUGUACCAUAAGCAGCAGCAUUGGGAUUUGGCACAAAAGGAACUUCAAAGUGCCAAGGAAUAUUUUGGGGAUAGCAGCUCUGAUAUUUCUUGUUGGAAGUGCAGAUUGAUGCUGGAAGCAACUGUUAAUCCUGUAUUUUUGAAAAUACAAGGAAGUACAUCUUCAGAUAAGUUAUCUCAUGCUGAAAACCUGUAUAAAUCAGCCAUUGCCAAACUAAAUCUUUCUGAGUGGAAAAUUCUGUUAAUUGUCCUGAAGAAGAGCGUGAUGAUUGGACAAUGCUUGGAAAAGCUAGUCUUAAAGACUUUGGAGCUUGUUGUAUACUUACUCAUUCUGAAGAAAAACAGCAGGAAAUUAGGAAAAUCAUCAAGGAGGGGAUGAAAGGCAAGAUGGAUGCUGAAAAGUUUAAAAAGACUAAAAAUGCACCAAAACCCAUGGUGAAGGAUCGAGUGUCAGUACCUGAGUACAAUUUGAGGUCAACUCGGUCUAGAUAUUGAUCUCCUCAGAACCAAAGCAUAAGUGGCAAUGGCAUCACCCAACUUGGUCCUUCAAAGCAGUUGCAAGGAAAAAGUGAGUGUGAUUGUCCUGAUACUUUUAGUAAGAGGGAUUUUCUAUUGGAUUUAAAAAGUUGUGAGGUCGUUGAUGUAACAUGCAUUUGCAACAAAAUGAGGUGUUGGCAUUGUCUUACUUUGGAAGUUAUGGAAUCUGGGUUAGUGAAAAAUGUAGUAGAUUUGAAGUGGGAGUUUGUCCGCAGGCGUUUAUCACUCAGGCUUCUCACAGGAUUAGGAACAUGCUUGGAGAGUUGUAGUCAAGUACACGAGACACGUGAAAUUAUAGCAGACUGUAUCAAUCUUGGUCAGCCGAAACCCAUUUUUUCCUAUUACCUCAACUGUUCCAUUGACUUCCUUGUUUGAUUUAAUGGGAAAGGAGAUCCCCGGGGAUGCGUUCUGUAUUGAACGGGCAGAAGUACUGUUGAACAUAAGUUGAUUGUCUUUGAAGAGUUACUGUUCUAAGGAAACCAGGUAUCUUAAUAGUAGGUUCUUAUGUAUAUGCAUGCUUAUUGGAUAAAUGCCUUAAAUAAACCAUCAGGGAUAUCACCGGACACUUGCUCAUUUGUAUAAAAGAGGAGUAAUGCCCUUUGUUUUUGGGUAAGCU